rnacentral:rRNA from 1 species
GACGAACGCUGGCGGCGUGCUUAACACAUGCAAGUCGAACGGAAAGGCCCUGCUUUUGUGGGGUGCUCGAGUGGCGAACGGGUGAGUAACACGUGAGUAACCUGCCCUUGACUUUGGGAUAACUUCAGGAAACUGGGGCUAAUACCGGAUAGGAGCUCCUGCUGCAUGGUGGGGGUUGGAAAGUUUCGGCGGUUGGGGAUGGACUCGCGGCUUAUCAGCUUGUUGGUGGGGUAGUGGCUUACCAAGGCUUUGACGGGUAGCCGGCCUGAGGGGGUGACCGGCCACAUUGGGACUGAGAUACGGCCCAGACUCCUACGGGAGGCAGCAGUGGGGAAUAUUGCACAAUGGGCGGAAGCCUGAUGCAGCAACGCCGCGUGCGGGAUGACGGCCUUCGGGUUGUAAACCGCUUUCGCCUGCGACGAAGCGUGAGUGACGGUAAUGGGUAAAGAAGCACCGGCUAACUACGUG